UACGGAGGGAGCUAGCGUUGUUCGGAAUUACUGGGCGUAAAGCGCACGUAGGCGGCUUUGUAAGUUAGAGGUGAAAGCCCGGGGCUCAACCCCGGAAUUGCCUUUAAGACUGCAUCGCUUGAAUCCAGGAGAGGUGAGUGGAAAUUCCCGAGUGUAGAGGUGAAAAUUCGUAGAUAUUCGGAAGAACACCAGUGGCGAAGGCGGCUCACUGGAC
rnacentral:rRNA from 1 species